GCUGAUAUAGUUUAACAGGUAAAAACUUAUCAUUCAUGACGAUAAAAUAAAAGUUCAAUUCUUUUUAUCAGCU
rnacentral:tRNA from 1 species